rnacentral:rRNA from 1 species
UAAGCGGAGGAAAAAAAACUAACAAGGAUUCCCCUAGUAACGGCGAGUGAAGCGGGACGAGCUCAAAUUUGAAAGCUGGCACCUUUGGUGUCCGCAUUGUAAUCUCGAGAAGUAGUUUCUGUGCCGGACCAUGUACAAGUUCCUUGGAAUAGGACAUCAGAGAGGGUGAGAAUCCCGUACUUGACAUGGACCCCGGUGCUUUGUGAUCUGCUCUCUAUGAGUCGAGUUGUUUGGGAAUGCAGCUCAAAAUGGGUGGUAAAUUCCAUCUAAAGCUAAAUAUUGGGGAGAGACCGAUAGCGAACAAGUACCGUGAGGGAAAGAUGAAAAGCACUUUGGAAAGAGAGUUAAACAGUACGUGAAAUUGUCAAAAGGGAAGCGCUUGAGGUUAGACAUGCAUGCAGUAUUCAACCUUUCUUUUGGGAUUGGCGUAUUUGCUGUUGUGCAGGCCAGCAUCGGUUUUGUCUGCUGGAUAAUAGUAGGAGAAAUGUGGCAUCUUCGGAUGUGUUAUAGUCUCUUAUUGGAUACAGUGGAUGGGACCGAGGACCGCAGUGUGCCGUAAGGCGGCUCUUCGGAGACCUUCGCACUUAGGAUGCUGGCGUAAUGG